rnacentral:tRNA from 1 species
GCCGAAAUAGCUCAGAUGGGAGAGCGUCAGACUGAAGAUCUGAAGGUCCCUGGUUCAAUCGCGGGCUUCGGCA